UACGUAGGGUGCGAGCGUUAAUCGGAAUUACUGGGCGUAAAGCGUGCGCAGGCGGUUAUGUAAGACAGUUGUGAAAUCCCCGGGCUCAACCUGGGAACUGCAUCUGUGACUGCAUAGCUAGAGUACGGUAGAGGGGAUGGAAUUCCGCGUGUAGCAGUGAAAUGCGUAGAUAUGCGGAGGAACACCGAUGGCGAAGGCAAUCCCUGGACCUGUACUGACGCUCAUGCACGAAACGCGUGGGAGCAAACAGG
rnacentral:rRNA from 1 species